UGUGGCAACGAUGGUUAUUUUGUGGGUUUAGGUUUUGGGCUCGACUCUUUUAGGCCGGCGAAGAGGGACCGGCGCGGCGGCGCUAGUGAGGGAGGGGAGGCGGGGGAGGGGGAGGGUGGGCAGCCGCGGCGGCUGGUACCUCCUGCGGAUGCGGUUCAGGCGGCGCCUCCACGAGGUUCGCAAGCCGCACCUGGCCUGGUUCCCGGAGAGGCUGAGCGUCCACCUCGUCGUACGGAACGAAGUGCCGUUUUUGCACGACGGGGUUCUUCUUUCAUGGGGGAAGACCUUCAAUCAAAACUUUGUCAAACUACUAAAUGAGCAGUUUUAUAACUAUCGUCGACGACACCAUAGGAAGGAAAACCGAGCUAACUUACCACUUUGACCUAAUUGUCGUAAAAACCUUGGUAGACAGUAUAAAUACUAUAAUCGUCGUUUACGUCGUCAACCACACUAGUGUCUUUGUUUACGACUUUUUCGAGAGCUCCUCAACGCUCGUAUAGUUCGUCUACAACGUUGCCACGAAGCGUUACCAACGAAAAGAUAUGAAGGUCGUUGUCUUGAACAGGGACCUCUAUAACAUCUUCACCCUCAACCAACGUUUCAAGGUCGACUGUACUCUUACCAACUUUACGAUUCGGUAGUUAACGCACAACUGGUCCGUUAAGACUGUCCCCUUUCGACAAGUCACCGAUUUCUCGAACUAAGUUGAAGUCGUUACUUACGACAGAUGGUCCUGUUUUGUUUGUAAGAAAAGAGCCCAUGACAACAACAUCGACCAUCUCGUUCUCGACAGCAAUAACCACAACCAAGAUUAUGACGUUACCCUUCAUAUGCACUACGUUACGACUCUUGUCUCCUACUUCGCUGAGGUGACUUCUUUUUUGACCUGCUUAAACCGUGUAAAGACCGUUUCCAAUAUCGUCCCUAGACAUAAGAACAAACCCAACAUUUAUAACCGGUAAAGGCUCUAGGAAGAGUACCACCGAAAGAAUCCCCACGGUAAGUAAUAAAAUUCCAUCGUCAACGGGAACGACAACGUCGGUAAGGUCUUCCAGAGGGUCGACAUCAUUGUUGCACGAAUCGAGAACCAUGGUUCUCUUACCGAGCGAACUUACGGUAGCAUUCCAGAAACGGGAGACACCUCUGUAAUCCUACGUGUUGUCAGUAAACGACACUGUUUUGACCGUGAGAAUGCUGUUUGUACUACAGUCACAGAUUCCAUACACAACACGCCAGACACGUGGUCUCUGGUUAUUGACUACUCAUGAGAUAAUCACCUUGGUGUAAACGAGGACUACCCAAAUAUAUACUGCGGUCACUUUUAGUCGACCUCAAAGGAGGAGUCAGGGGUACAGAGGAAGUAUAUCGGUACACAAGUCGAGAAACGUUACUCAGGUGAAAUGUCAUGUUAGGACUAUUUUUUUCAAUACUCUUCUAACCUCUCAGGUGACUUCAACGAGACGCGCAAGACCACCUCUUCCAGCCAGAAGGACCGAAACUAAGCUACGGAAGUCGAGACUUGUACGAUUGAUUCGUACUCGCACGUAGCAUGACGUUAGUGAUAACCCUUUUAGUCAAGUCUUUCUAUAGUCAAGAUCUGAAAAGGGCUCUAGCGUUUUACUACUCGCAGGAAACGUCAGCUUUUGUUGUCCUCUAAUACAAAAGUUUUCCACGGGGACUUUCACAUUACCGUUCUACGUGUGUAUAUAACACGUUACUACUACCCAGAAGACAUGGUAACUGAUACCUGUAUGCAUUACUCGACCUUCGAUCUAAAGUUUCAAAACGUCCUUUUCUAUGGGAUUCCACGGAUCGUAAUCGUAAUUUUGCUUACGGUCUUCCGGUUGUUUCAGAAAGGAUACUACUACUCCGUUUAAAUUGUAAAUAACCUAACCAACCCUACGAACUGGGAGGUUCUCUACUUCAAGUGUCACGAUAGGUAAGAACAUACAGUCGUCCCUAAGCACAAUAACAACAAUGACCCCUAUUGUUCAGGUGACGUCUUAGAGAUACAGCCGUUUAACCACGCAAACUCGUAAAUCUACUGAAAUGUCCCAUAAGUAUAUGUCGUAGUCUUAAACUUCCCGAAGGAGGAAACCUUUCCCGUUUACGUAACGCUUCCUACCAAGACAAGAGGUCUCACCUUGGAAGAGUAUUCUUCUACGAACAACUUCGGAACGUUAGUGUAUUACUUCACCAACGUUACUGACCACUACCUCAGUUACUACGUGGACGGGACUUUUUUCGUCUAUAUCCUUAUCGAUACCCUAGUCCUUGACGACAACGCUUCUCACGAAGUCUAUACCAUAACCGACUACUGUUGAAACGAUGUUAACAACGUCGACAACGUCUCCCUUCCCGGUAUAUAUUAUUGUGGUUCGUCAAAUAAGCUAUGUACUAAAGUAGUUUAUAACCCCUCCAUCAAACAUAAAAACACCGUCGCCACGAACCCUACGGACUGUGUGAACAUGGACAGGUCGAUGAGACCCAUUUGGAACAAUGACUGCCCAACGGACGUUGACGUUAACCAAAAUUGUUCGGACUACCGUUAUAGUACCGUCAAUUCGGAGCAUUCCACUUGCUUCGACACCAGUCACCUACCGAGAAAAAGGCGAUAAAUCAGUAACCACGAAUACAACCAGAACGGUGAUAUCGCCCCAAGCAAACCACCAAACAAAUAAGACUUCUACCAGGAUCUGAUGGUAUGAGACUUAACUAGUUAAAACUAAGUACAAGUUGGUCCGUUUGAAGUAUAGGAACGUCGUAGAAACUCCUAGCGGUAGGUAGUUGACAAAGUUACUGACAAGAACAACAACAGCUCUACAAAUUACGGAACUUAUUGGAUUCACUUUUAGUUAGAGAUGAACAGUAAGUGGGUACCUCAUUGGAUACCGAACAACCCAGUUAGUAAGACUGUUACGAAGAAGUGCAUCGUCAGAACAUAUGCCUUGGGGACAGUCGAGAAAAGAGUCAUUAAAACUAGCUACUCCACAACUUUAAAAAGAGUUCUUCUGGAGUUCGAACCUCAAAAGGAAAUGCCAAUACCUCUGCGCUUUACGAAGGAUUUCUUCGGGCUCUAUUAAUUAAAAUCCUGAUUCGUUCGACACGAACUAUAUCGUACUUCGAGCAACGCCACUUUGAUUAAAACUGAUUAAGUAAACCUGAACCUUCCGACUGUUUGUAACAUCUUUCAAACAUAUGGAGGACGCCUAACACCGUUUGUCUAUAACUGUCCUUGAUACAUUAAAAUUACAUACUUUUUUUACUCAUCUCUCAUCAAAACCUGCACACAACAUUCUUUAUCGAUAUAUGUCUGUCUAACAAGCUUGAACGUUACCUGUGAAGGUUCUGUGGCUCAAGUGUUAA
rnacentral:rRNA from 1 species